rnacentral:sRNA from 1 species
AAAUGGAUUACUUUAGAGAUUGAGUCUAUGAAACUGAAUACUAAACAUUUUUGGAUUCCAACAAAUAUAUUAUGGCUCUGAAUGGUAAUCAAAACCGCACUUAAAACCGCACCGCAACAGUACUGUAACAGUAUUAAAAUCUCUACAUAUUCAUAUGUAUCUAUAUAUUUUCGUUACUAUUUGAACCGCACCGUACUUCUCCCGCACCGCAAAACGCAAUCACCAUUCGGAGCUUAUAUCAUGGAGAUGUAGCUGGGCAAACAUAUGAUAUCGAUAUCCAGACCCUAAAGAAUUUU